AAGGAAGUGGUGCAAGAAGUAUUCUUUUUUAUUUGUCUUCCACGUGACCACUCUGUGCCGUCCAACAUGAGUUACACUCCAGUCGACCUGUCACGGGCCCCCAUCGCGUGGCGCGACCCUCGGGGCGGCGCUCAGGCUCUCCGCGCCAGCAGGCAGUGCGACGGCCCGGCGUGGGAUAGCUCGAGUCACGCUGACACGCUGUCCAUCACAUGGGUGGCACGGACGCGUGCGCUGUCGCAGCCCGCUCUGACGCACCGCCGUCCAGGACCCGACCGCCGAUAUCCGUGGCGAUGAAGCGCUCUGACCCCCCCAGCUCGUAGGUGCUUGCCCCUGCCACCACCAGAGGUGGUUCGGCAUUGGCAGGGGUUAGGUGGGGGCUGCGUGGCUUCCCCACACAGAGUGGGGGCACUGGGCCCUGAGACACCACGCUGAGGUUCGUCCCCCGUCAUCAAGGCAGGUUUAAGAGAUGAAAGGAGGGGGAAGAGCUUUCCUCUUGUGGUGCGGUGUAGGGGUCAAAGGAAGCGGUGGAAGUAGUGCUCACUCAGCGCCUGAGUUGUACAUGCUCGCUGCUUUUUCGGUUUUGUUUGCGUGUCUGCGUGCAUCUUGCGCUCUUUUGCUUGUUGAUUCUUGGGAGCGCCGUCAGGCAAAACGAAAAGAAGGAAAGGACAGCGGCAACAGAGAAGAAAGCUAAAGAUGCGAUGCGGCAUCGUCCAUUGGCUCAUGUGCGUAUGCGUGUACGAUCGGGGCACACGACU
rnacentral:misc_RNA from 1 species